rnacentral:rRNA from 1 species
UACGUAGGGUGCGAGCGUUGUCCGGAAUUAUUGGGCGUAAAGAGCUUGUAGGCGGUUUGUCGCGUCUGCCGUGAAAAUUCGAGGCUCAACCUCGAACUUGCGGUGGGUACGGGCAGACUAGAGUAUGGUAGGGGAGACUGGAAUUCCUGGUGUAGCGGUGAAAUGCGCAGAUAUCAGGAGGAACACCGAUGGCGAAGGCAGGUCUCUGGGCCACUACUGACGCUGAGAAGCGAAAGCAUGGGGAGCGAACAGG